UUAAUGGUCCCAUGGCAUAAACAUGUCACUUCAUGAGGUUUUUUAACAUUAAUAUGAGUUCCCCCAGCCUGCCUAUGGUCCCCACUGGCUAGAAAUGGCAAUAGGUGUAUACCGAGCCCUGGGUAUCCUGCUCUGCCUUUGAGAAAAUGAAAGCCCAGAUGGGUCAAUCUGGAAUCCUGCCCCUUAUGAGGUCAUAGGGGGCAAGGCUAUGGGCUGCCCUUUCUCUGAUUUGCCCAGCCAGAGAGUUUGGCCCACCAAUGAGAGAGAUACAUCAUGGCUUUCAAACGAGCAAAGUUGCAGUUGGUCAAGGCCACACCCCCAGCCUCC